AAGUAUGGAUCAAUAUCAAACUCAAUCACUUAUUCAUGUCUCUCUCAAUCUUUUAUAUGAUAAUUCAAACAAUGAAACAUUAGAAACUCUUUAUAUUAUUUAUUUUGCUUUGAUCAAAGGCUUCUUGAAUCAUCAUAAGAUUAGAGUAAGUAGGAUGUUACCUUCUCUUACUAGAAGUGAUUGAUUCCUUGUUGACCUACUCAUAACCUUCGUACAAAAUCCACCAUAUCCAGAAUACCCCGUACACAACGCAAUGUCGUGAAUGAGGGUAAACCAAAACAUAGCUUCAAAUGCACAAGGUACCAUGGUGAUCUCAGGUCUAAGGAUCACUUGCACAACUC
rnacentral:lncRNA from 1 species